rnacentral:miRNA from 1 species
AUGAGUUUGCUCUGUGUCAUCCUCACAACAACCUUGCAGGGUAGAGAUGAUUUUUCCUACUUUUCUAGGUUGUU